CAGUGCCACGGUAAUACGUAGGGUGCAAGCGUUAAUCGGAAUUACUGGGCGUAAAGCGUGCGCAGGCGGUUAUAUAAGACAGAUGUGAAAUCCCCGGGCUCAACCUGGGAACUGCAUUUGUGACUGUAUAGCUAGAGUACGGCAGAGGGGGAUGGAAUUCCGCGUGUAGCAGUGAAAUGCGUAGAUAUGCGGAGGAACACCGAUGGCGAAGGCAAUCCCCUGGGCCUGUACUGACGCUCAUGCACGAAAGCGUGGGGAGCAAACAGGAUUAGAUACCCCUGUAGUCCCUGUCUCUUAUACA
rnacentral:rRNA from 1 species